rnacentral:rRNA from 1 species
GGGAAUCUGCCCUUGGGUUCGGAAUAACAGUGAGAAAUUACUGCUAAUACCGGAUGAUGUCUUCGGACCAAAGAUUUAUCGCCCAAGGAUGAGCCCGCGUAGGAUUAGGUAGUUGGUGGGGUAAUGGCCUACCAAGCCGACGAUCCUUAGCUGGUCUGAGAGGAUGAUCAGCCACACUGGGACUGAGACACGGCCCAGACUCCUACGGGAGGCAGCAGUGGGGAAUAUUGGACAAUGGGCGAAAGCCUGACGCAGCCAUGCCGCGUGAAUGAUGAAGGUCUUAGGAUUGUAAAAUUCUUUCACCGGGGACGAUAAUGACGGUACCCGGAGAAGAAGCCCCGGCUAACUUCGUGCCAGCAGCCGCGGUAAUACGAAGGGGGCUAGCGUUGCUCGGAAUUACUGGGCGUAAAGGGCGCGUAGGCGGAUCGUUAAGUCAGAGGUGAAAUCCCGGAGCUCAACUUCGGAAUUGCCUUUGAUACUGGCGAUCUUGAGUGUGAGAGAGGUAUGUGGAACUCCGAGU